ACCGCAGGCUGGAGGCGCGCCGGCGUGAUUCCGACAGCGGGAGCCGGGAGGAGGAGCCGGAGGAGGCUGCGGGGGGCUCCGGCCCAGGCGAAGGAAGGGCAAGAGGCUCUGCGGACCAGGGGCGGCGCUGGGAGGCAUUCCCAUCCUCCGGCAGAACAGCUGAGAAUCGCCAAGUUGACCCCUCUCAUCCAUUGGCCGAGAAGAGAGGGUGUUUCAGGACCCAGGGAUGGGCGGGAAGAAACCAUGGGGAGCCACAAGUCUGCACCCAGGCGGGGAGGAGGCGGGCGGGCGCCGCUCCGCAGGCGCAGGCGAGUGGGUGGGAAGGGAGAGGGAGAGGGAGGAAGGAGGUGAGGCCGGGAAGAUGCCACUGCCGGGGGCGGGGCGGGGCCGGGGAUCCGGCACAGGGACUGCAGCAGUGCUUGGUGGGGGCGGGAGCUGCAAUGUCACUCAUUUGAGUCAGGUGUGUGCGUCCCAAACGGGGUCCGCCACAAGCCCGCAUCUUCCUAGUAACACCCAGGGCGCAGGGGCAGAGGGCAGGGGACUGCGGAUCCGUCCCUGAAGCGGGACGCGAACCGGCAGAGUUGGAAGAAGGUAAACAAGGGCCACGCCCCCUGCCGUCGCCCCGCGGGCGCGCACCCGCCGCUCCGGCCGCCGCCGGUACAUUUCCACUCUCCCAGCGCCUCUCCCCCGCCGGACUCCCGCGCGGCCCCGGAGGUGGGGGCUGUCCCCGACCCCAGUCCGCGCCCCUGGCGCCAAGGCUCCGCACCCUCCAUACUCACCUGGAAAGGGUGGCCCCCGCCCCUCCAAAAAACUGUCUAAUUUGUGCAGAGCCUCCAAGCCCAGGAGCCGAGCAUGCUGCCCCCGCGUGCAGCGCCCGCGUGCACCGGGCCGGGAGAGGGGGCGACAGGGCGGAGGCGGUGGCCCCCGGAAGGUGUCUGGGACCGGACCGGCUGCACGUGAGCCCAGCGCGAGGUCAUGUGCACCGGCUCAGCCCGGUUCGCCGCCCGGACGUGCUGCGUAUCAACAAAAUGAAACUCGGGGAGGCAGGAGGGCAGAUAGCUCCCGGUUCUCAGAGCCCCCGCCCCGGCCACUCAACCUCCCCACCGGACUCAUCUCUCGCUGCAGCCCCUACGCCCGGCCGGAGCCCGCGGGGCAAGUUGCAGCCCUGGCGCGCCCCCGCCCUCCCGCGCCCCCUCCGACCCGGGGGCGCUUUGCCGCAGUCAUUAAUAAAGAAGGUCGCCAAGCUCA